rnacentral:sRNA from 1 species
GCCAGGUGUGGUGGCACACACCUGUAAUCCCAACAGCUUGGGAGGCUGAGGCAAGAGGAUUGUGAAUUCAAAGCCAGCCUCUGCAACGCAGUGAGGCCCUAAGCAACUUAGUGAGAUUCUGUCUCUA